GACGAACGCUGGCGGCGUGCUUAACACAUGCAAGUCGAACGGAAAGGCCCUGCUCUUGUGGGGUGCUCGAGUGGCGAACGGGUGAGUAACACGUGAGUAACCUGCCCUUGACUUUGGGAUAACUUCAGGAAACUGGGGCUAAUACCGGAUAGGAGCUCCUGCUGCAUGGUGGGGGUUGGAAAGUUUCGGCGGUUGGGGAUGGACUCGCGGCUUAUCAGCUUGUUGGUGGGGUAGUGGCUUACCAAGGCUUUGACGGGUAGCCGGCCUGAGAGGGUGACCGGCCACAUUGGUACUGAGAGACGGACCAGACUCCUACGGGAGGCAGCAGUGGGGAAUAUUGCACAAUGGGGGGAAGCCUGAUGCAGCAACGCCGCGUGCGGGAUGACGGCCUUCGGGUUGUAAACCACUUUCGACUGUGACGAAGCGUGAGUGACGGUAAUGGGUAAAGAAGCACCGGCUAACUACGUG
rnacentral:rRNA from 1 species